rnacentral:lncRNA from 1 species
UUGACCUCAUUUUCAUGGUUCAGUGGUUAUAGUUAGGUUUUGUGUUUUGGUCUGUUUUUCUCAUACUUUAUGCAGUAUAUCUAUAUUUGUUCUAUGGAAUGAUUGUAAGGUGUACAUGUCUAGCGGGCAGAUGUCAUCUGACCUUGCCCUCAUUUUCAUGGUUGAUUGGUCUGAGUUAAGUUUUUGAGUUUUGGUCUUUUUAUCUAAUACAAAUGCCAUAGCUCAACUCUAUUUGGUGUAUUUUAUGAACUAUAUGUCAGUCGUGCAGGUUUAAUUUGACCUCAACCUCAAUUUCACGGUUCAUUGCUCAGUGUUAAGUUUUUGUUUUUGGUCUAUUUUUCUUAAACUAUAAGUAAUAGGUCUACUGUAUUUGUUAUAUGUAAGCAUUGUUAGCUGUACAUGUGUGCCUGGCAUGGUUUAUCUGACCUUGACCUCAUUUUCAUGGUUCAUUGGUCUUUGUUCAGUUAUCUUGGUUAAUAAAGCUUUAUACUUGGGACUAUCGACAUCAUAUCAAGGAUUAGUAAAGAAGGCGAGACAUUUCAGCAUGUGCACUCUUGUCUUGAACUAUAAGCAAUAGGGCAACUAUAUUUGGUGUACAUUUGUAUGGAAGAAUUGUUAAAAUGUCUGCCUGGCAUGGUUCAUCUGACCUUGACCUCAUUUUCAUGGUUCAUUGGUCUUUGUUCAGUUAUCUUGGUUAAUAAAGCUUUAUACUUGGGACUAUCAACAUCAUAUCAAGGAUUAGUAAAGAAGGCGAGACAUUUCAGCGUGUGCACUCUUGUCUUGAACUGUAAGCAAUAGGGCAACUAUAUUUGGUGUACAUUUGUAUGGAAGAAUUGUAAAAAUGUCUGCCUGGCAUGGUUCAUCUGACCUUGACCUCAUUUUCAUGGUUUAUUGGUCAAUGUUUAGUUAUCUUGGUUAAUGAGUUUAUGAGAAAGUUGUAAUAAAGCUUUAUAUUUAGGACUAUCAACAUAAUAUCCAUGAUUAAUUCAGCAUGUGCACUCUUGUUCAUAAUACAUAUGCGUGUACUUAAGAAAACCCAAUAGGUCAGCUGUGAGUGGAUUUAUUGUUUUGUGAUCUGUUUGUGAGAAUUCACAAAAACCACCUAAACAUGAACCAAUUCCAUGGUUUGCUUUUCUGUGUCAUUAUCUAAGACUAUUCCGACUACAUAUAUAUUAAGGUACAGGGGCUGAUCCAACCCCCGGAACCCUCCCCUGGAUCCGCCACUGAGGUGAUUCAAAAUGAUUAUAUGUGUACAUAUUUCUGUUGUAAAGUUCAUUUGUCAAGUUUUGGUUUAUUGGUCAGUGACAGCAAAUGGUAUUUUUUAGUUUAAUGUGGUGUUAAUGUAUAUGCAGGACCUACACAACUCUGGAGGUAAAAAGACUUUUUCAUGUGGAUUUUCCUCGUAAAUGUGAACAUGUUGAAAUGAACUUAGACUUUUUUUUUAUUUUUGGCUUCAUAGACUAGUUUAUGCAUCAAUAUAUAUAUAUAGUGACUACAUAUACAGAUAAGAAUUAGAAGUAUUCAUGUUUAUUUGGUUAUUUCAAUGUACAUUUUGAUGCAAUCAUGGACAAUAGAAUAUAUAUACAUAUAUAUAAAAAUAUUAUAAGAGAAAUAUAUACAUGUAUCAAGCUAAAAAAUAUUACAACCUUUGUGAACUGUCGUAUCAAAUAACUCUUGUUUUUCAUACACAUGAUUUUUAUACUUUUUUUAGUUCAACUGUUACAAGGUCUUAUCAAAUUGCAUGCAUGUAUAUGGCAAGUUAAAAUAAUUUCAAAAUGGGAAAACCAUCAAUAGAGAUGCAAAAUUUAAAUUUGAAUGUACUUUAUACCCACAGAAAGGUAUAGUGCCAUCCUUACAUGUACAUUGUACUGUAGAUCAUCUGUCCCAUGUAUAUUUUAAUUGAACAGCCAUAUUUAAGUAAAAUAAAUUGAGUUAAGCUCACGGUUUUAUGUAAUGAAUACAUGUUCCUAAAGCAGUAAAAAUAUAAUUUCAAAUCAUGAGGAUGUAAAAAUUAACUUAAUGUAACUUAAUGACAUUUAUAUUAUGAUGUAAUAAACAUGGUGAAUUAAUUGCAUUCUCAAUUCUUUUUUGUUUGUUUUUCCUUACUCGAUUGCAUUUGAAUUUAUCAUAACUGAAUGUGUCAGAACAUUAUGCGAUUAGUCCCAAUCCAAACAAAAAGAGACGAAAGAUAUUUGUGAAGCAGUCAAAGUAUAAGUCAGUUAAAACUGACAACACCAUGGGUGAAAAGUAAUCCAAUUAAGAUA